CCUACGGGAGGCAGCAGUGGGGAAUAUUGGACAAUGGGCGAAAGCCUGAUCCAGCCAUGCCGCGUGUGUGAAGAAGGCCUUCGGGUUGUAAAGCACUUUCAGUGGGGAAGAAAGCCUUGGGGCUAAUACCCUCGAGGAAGGACAUCACCCACAGAAGAAGCACCGGCUAACUCCGUGCCAGCAGCCGCGGUAAUACGGAGGGUGCGAGCGUUAAUCGGAAUUACUGGGCGUAAAGCGCGCGUAGGCGGUCUGAUAAGCCGGUUGUGAAAGCCCCGGGCUCAACCUGGGAACGGCAUCCGGAACCGGCCGGAUUGGAGUGAGGAGAGGAAGGGAGGAAUUCCAGUGGAGCGGGGAAAUGGGGAGAAGACGGGGGGAAAAACAGUGGCGGAGGGGGGCUUUUGGACUGAUAACGACGCUGGAGGGUGAAAGGGGUGGUAGGAAAAAGGGAUUAAUACCCCUAGUAGUC
rnacentral:rRNA from 1 species